rnacentral:rRNA from 1 species
UAAACAGUUGUGCUGGCGACCAUAUCAAGAGUGAACCACCUGAUCCCUUCCCGAACUCAGAAGUGAAACCUCUUAGCGCUGAUGGUAGUGUGGGAUUACCCAUGUGAGAGUAAGUCAUCGCCAGCUCAUUAUUC